rnacentral:rRNA from 1 species
UACGUAGGGGGCAAGCGUUGUCCGGAAUCAUUGGGCGUAAAGCGCGUGUAGGCGGCUCGAUAAGUCUGCUGUGAAAGUCCAGGCUCAACCCUGGGAUGCCGGUGGAUACUGUCGAGCUCGAGUCCGGAAGAGGCGAGUGGAAUUCCUGGUGUAGCGGUGAAAUGCGCAGAUAUCAGGAGGAACACCAAUGGCGAAGGCAGCUCGCUGGGACGUGACUGACGCUGAGACGUGAAAGCGUGGGGAGCAAACAGG